rnacentral:rRNA from 1 species
UAGGGAAUCUUCGGCAAUGGACGGAAGCCUGACCGAGCAACGCCACGUGAGUGAAGAAGGUUUUCGGAUCGUAAAGCUCUGUUGUAAGAGAAGAACGAGUGUGAGAGUGGAAAGUUCACACUGUGACGGUAUCUUACCAGAAAGGGACGGCUAACUACGUGCCAGCAGCCGCGGUAAUACGUAGGUCCCGAGCGUUGUCCGGAUUUAUUGGGCGUAAAGCGAGCGCAGGCGGUUAGAUAAGUCUGAAGUUAAAGGCUGUGGCUUAACCAUAGUACGCUUUGGAAACUGUUUAACUUGAGUGCAAGAGGGGAGAGUGGAAUUCCAUGUGUAGCGGUGAAAUGCGUAGAUAUAUGGAGGAACACCGGUGGCGAAAGCGGCUCUCUGGCUUGUAACUGACGCUGAGGCUCGAAAGCGUGGGGAGCAAACAGGAUUAGAUACCCUGGUAGUCCACGCCGUAAACGAUGAGUGCUAGGUGUUAGACCCUUUCCGGGGUUUAGUGCCGCAGCUAACGCAUUAAGCACUCCGCCUGGGGAGUACGACCGCAANUUG